rnacentral:rRNA from 1 species
UAGGGAAUCUUCCACAAUGGACGCAAGUCUGAUGGAGCAACGCCGCGUGAGUGAAGAAGGUUUUCGGACCGUAAAGCUCUGUUGUUGGUGAAGAAGGAUAGAGGUAGUAACUGGCCUUUAUUUGAUGGUAAUCAACCAGAAAGUCACGGCUAACUACGUGCCAGCAGCCGCGGUAAUACGUAGGUGGCAAGCGUUGUCCGGAUUUAUUGGGCGUAAAGCGAGCGCAGGCGGAAGAAUAAGUCUGAUGUGAAAGCCCUCGGCUUAACCGAGGAAUUGCAUCGGAAACUGUUUUCUUGAGUGCAGAAGAGGG